rnacentral:rRNA from 1 species
GAUGAACGCUGGCGGCGUGCCUAAUACAUGCAAGUCGAGCGAACAGACGAGGAGCUUGCUCCUCUGACGUUAGCGGCGGACGGGUGAGUAACACGUGGAUAACCUACCUAUAAGACUGGGAUAACUUCGGGAAACCGGAGCUAAUACCGGAUAAUAUAUUGAACCGCAUGGUUCAAUAGUGAAAGACGGUUUUGCUGUCACUUAUAGAUGGAUCCGCGCCGCAUUAGCUAGUUGGUAAGGUAACGGCUUACCAAGGCAACGAUGCGUAGCCGACCUGAGAGGGUGAACGACCAGCCGGGAUGUGAGAAUCAGCCCCCACACCUGCAGGGAGACACGGCAGGGACUCUUACGCGAUGGGGGAGAGGGUGACGGAGCAAAACGGCGGGAAUGAUGAAGCUCUUCGGCUCCGAGAGCGAUGAUAUUAGUGGAGAACAAAUGUUUAAGUAACUAUGAACAUAUUGACGGUACCUAAACAGAAAGCCACGGCUAACUACGUG